rnacentral:rRNA from 1 species
GCAAAAGCUCAAAUUUGAAAUCUGGUACCUUCGGUGCCCGAGUUGUAAUUUGGAGAGGGCAACUUUGGGGCCGUUCCUUGUCUAUGUUCCUUGGAACAGGACGUCAUAGAGGGUGAGAAUCCCGUGUGGCGAGGAGUGCGGUUCUUUGUAAAGUGCCUUCGAAGAGUCGAGUUGUUUGGGAAUGCAGCUCUAAGUGGGUGGUAAAUUCCAUCUAAAGCUAAAUAUUGGCGAGAGACCGAUAGCGAACAAGUACAGUGAUGGAAAGAUGAAAAGAACUUUGAAAAGAGAGUGAAAAAGUACGUGAAAUUGUUGAAAGGGAAGGGCAUUUGAUCAGACAUGGUGUUUUGUGCCCUCUGCUCCUUGUGGGUAGGGGAAUCUCGCAUUUCACUGGGCCAGCAUCAGUUUUGGUGGCAGGAUAAAUCCAUAGGAAUGUAGCUUGCCUCGGUAAGUAUUAUAGCCUGUGGGAAUACUGCCAGCUGGGACUGAGGACUGCGACGUAAGUCAAGGAUGCUGGCAUAAUGGUUAUAUGCCGCCCGUCUUGAAACACG